rnacentral:lncRNA from 1 species
CCGAGGCAAGGCUUACCCAUGACGAGGCAUGUGACCAGUUAAAGGGUCCUCGGUCAGCACGCCUACAUACGCAUUAAUCCUUAACCAACCUGGGUAGAAUAUCACCUGUUCCUAACCCAAGUCUCAAGUUAAGUAUUUCCAUCCUUAGGAUUGUGUCUGUUCCUUACGAUGAAAGAGCAUCAUAGGGAACUUUGCAGUAAGAUCCCACUAUUGCUCCACAUGAAAAUAUUUUUGCAGGUAGAAGCCAUCCUCUCCCGGGUUAGACUGAGGACAACCUCUAUCCACAAGAUCUAAGCAAGGCUAAGCAUUUUUGUAAAUCAUAAUUUUGAUACUUCACAGAAGUAUCUAUAAAGGUAUGGAUAUCAAGGAAAGCAAUGCAUCAAAGGGUUUCAAGUAACUCCUAUGAACCUAAUGCACAUUUCACUAGACUUAAGUGUGCGAAAAGUAUUUAAAACACAAGGAAAGGGGUUGCAUGCACCGGGGCUUGCCUGAGUAACACUAGGUUAGUGUUGUUAGGUGACGUCCGCUUGACGAGUAUCCUUCGACCGAGCACUUGCUUGAUUUAACCGUCUUCAGGUUGAUUCAUCAGCUUCAGCUUGCAGAUUAGCCCACGCUUGGGGUCGGCUUGGUUCUUCUUCCGCAUCACGCGAUUAUUUAUCGUACCUCAUGAGAUGCAUGAUGCACAUGUAUGAGCACAUGUAUAACGAGUAUAAUAUAGAUAAUCUACGCUAAAAAGCAUGAAACACUUAAAACCAAGCAUUAAGCACCAUGGAUAUCACAGCAGGACAUCGACUAUAUCCAUUAAUCAAAUUGACAUAUUACACUAGAAAAUCUAUUUUUAUUCUAAGCUUUUUAUUAACUCUCUAAACUGUGUAACUUAAUUAGUUGAUUUAGCGAGCUAUCUAAAUCAAUCAUCACAAUAUACGCAUGCUAAAUUAAUAAUAUUUAUUGUGACCAAUAAUUCUAUUUAAUCUAUUUAUAGACCUAGUUAAUGGGAAUACGAACCAACUUACCCUUACUAAUUCGACGCGAUAGUCGCAAGCACGACUACGGGUUCCGGUUGAUGUCAUCCAGGAGCCUUCUUUUCUUCGGUAAUUAAUUGCUGAAGAUCUUUUCUUCGAUUGAAUAAUUUCGACGAAUUGAACUUGAGUCGCGCAGGAUGUCCGAGCUUUUUGGUCGCGCACUUGGUGAAUAUCACGCUGCUGGCUUCGUUUUCACUCGAUUCUUGGAAUUUCUUGAUGACGCAUGGAACGACGACGACACAGGAGGGUGACGUAUAUAGAGCUACACACGCGACACGAUGACGAACGACGCUGACCAGCGGAAUCGAUGACGCGAUGAGAAUUAAGGCCAAGCGAGCCGAGAGGGCGCACCGGCGAGCAGGAAAAAGACUCGACGCAGGAGUUUGACACGCACGCGAAGCUAUCACCAGCGACAACACUAUGAUGGCGAUAUGAGCGAACGCGAAUCGGCGCGGGCCAAACACCGUACAACCAUGGCAGCGACUUGGGCGAGAUUCAAACUAAAGCAGCAGCACAGCGACAAGCAGGGACGACUGGCGAACUCCGGUUUAGGUGAAUGGAACGCGACACAGGGAGCUGGUGCGCACGUAGGGACUCGACGACGGACAGCGGCCAUGGAUGACGUGUCGCGCGGACGGCCGAGCAGGACACGAACUGGACAGAACCGAGCGCGCAGGCUCCACGGCGAACCGAGAAACCGGCUACGCGCAGGGGACAGAGGACCGUGCGCGCAGAGCGAGCAGCAAGGACAGCGCACAAGGGGAGCCACGACGGCUAGCAUGCCCGACGACCACGGACGUGGCUGCCUGAGGCCGGGGUCGAGCACCACCAAGAGAAGGCACACGCGCGCGCGACCACGAUUAGGCGAGGGAGCGGCAUGACCAGGGAGCGAGCUCGCGGUCGAGCAGAGGAGAUGGGUGCCGCGAGCAGCCUGCAGGGAACCCCGCGCCAUGGGAGGAAACAGAGGGACUCAGCGAGCUGCGGCAGAGAGGAGGGAGAUAACGCGAGCACGGGGAACGGCAGUCGAAGCCGAGCAGGGGAUCCGGCGAGCGCACGGAGUUGGGCGCGGCCAUGGGAGAGCAGGGCGAGCAGGGGCGAGCUCGCGCGCAGAGAUAGAGAUAGCGGGAGGGAGAAGCCGAGCACGGAAAUCGCGGCUACAAAGAUGGACGCCGGCACUACGUACACAGGAAACGGAUAUAUAGCCGUUUGUAGAAAAAAUCUGAAGAUGAAGACGGCGGCGCUGGAUAAGGCUAAAGGAGAUACGUGUGUGAUAUUUCCAGAGAGAGAGAUGAAAUAGAUAAGGAUGGCUGUAGAUUUUUCAAAGAAUGGAUGUGAGCACUGGAGACCGACGUGAGAGAAUAAUAAAAAGAGUGGACGUGGGAGGAUAAGAUGGAUGGCCUGGGCGAUAGAAAAUCUCCAGAGAGAACGGUAGAAAAUAUUAGAGGAGGGAUUAGGGAAGCGGCGACACGAUAUUUUUGAAGCAAGAUUUUUAGCCAUAACAAAAAAGUCGACAGUACUUGCGACCCAAUUUGAUUCGAUUCGAAAUCUGAUAAAUUUACAUGGGGUCUGAACAUCUGGUUCUACAGCCACGGAUAAUUUACCAGUGAAUUGGAGCUCAAUUAAAAUUUCUCGGAGGAGCUGUCUCGGUUGACGAGUGGGAACCGAAUUGUUUAAUAAUUGUUUAUAUCUGAAGAUUUGGAUCCGGCGAGAAACAACAGACCGAAAUAAACUGAUUUCGGUACUGACAAUUUGCUCCACGAUUUAACUGAAAUUAGCCGGAACCAAAGUUGCGAAUGCUCACGCGAUUUCGUCGCCAAAACAGCGUGCUGAAGGAAUAAACUGGGUCAUAACUUCGCGCACGAUUUUCCUCGGACAACGCGCGAUACAGAUUAUUUUGCCUUGGACAUUUUAAUCGUCGAGUUCUUCUUAAUCUGUUCGGUAUAAAAUCAUCCGAGUGAGUCGGGCUUCCGAAUUCGUAUUCGCGCGAGCGAUGAAUUUUAAAUAAUCACCGGACGCACCAAUUUUCAGAACAAAUAUGUUCCGAACAGCACGAAAAUUUAGGAAGAGCCCGGAUUAAUAAAAAUGAUAUCGAACUCGCGAUAGAUGGAACAGAUGCGAUUUUAAAUUCGCGAUGGACGAAGAUAAUUAAAAUUUAGCAUCUGUUUUAUCCACUGAUAUUACGUGCUUAAAUCCAUACUCGUUGUCGAGCAAAAUAUAAACACCAGUGGUGUUACAACCCUCCCUCCUUAAAAGAAUCUCGUCCCGAGAUUCGGAACGAAAGACUUCUAAGAGUAGAGAAGCAUGUAACCCACAUCCAUAUCAGCGAUAAUCGUGAGACAGUUCUGAGCAAAGGCAAGUGUCUCAGAGUGUGGUUUCUCUAGCGGACAUAACAUGUAUCGCCUUAGGCUAAUUUAGAAAUGUCCACCAAAGAGACAAUAUUUGCCAGAGGUACACAUAAGGUUCUAUGUGUGCGGUUUACUCUUUCUGAUGACACUGUACUAUCUGAGUCUGUUGAGCGAGUGGCAAUUACGCGAUCUUACCCAAACAGAAUUAGAUGCACCAUCUUGGGUAAAACACACAGAAAGAGGUUUACCAACAAGUGGUUACAGUAAGUUCAUGGCACACGAGAUGGGUGUGAACGUCGAAUAACAUCACAGUUAACUCGUGUUAGGCUAGAAAAUCUAAGUUCAAGGAAAUGAUAGAGACUCGAAAAAUACCAAUGGAAAGAUUCGUUGAUGUUGUCUUCGCAACCAUACCAUUUUAUCAAGCACUAGGCAUGGCUCGACAUGAUCACACACGCUGGAAAAGUACAUGUGAGGCGAUCGAGGCAUGACUAGAGCGAUAAUUAGGCAGUUACUGGCCGACUUAAUCUUGAUUCUUGUAAGUACUUCCUUAGGAUGGGUUGACCCAAAGUGAGUUCAGACAACUCGAUAAAGCGAUCUCUAAACUCAACCUUUGAUCACAAGGCGGUUACAAGUUAGUAAAACCAACUUGUUGAACUACUUUCGACAUUGAGCAAGUCCUCUCAGUACCAUUGGUAAGCCAACGGUCGAGAGCUCACAUUCGCUAGCAAAAGGUCAUGCAUUUGGGUAGAAAUCCAUUUGGUCAUGUUGUUCAUCCAUUUCUUCAUGCGAGAUGAAUUAUCCACUUGGUUAGGGAAUACAUGGAUUAAAUAAGGGAGCGAAUGAACAAACUCCUGCAUCUCAGCAGCAGGGAAAACAUAUCUCCAUUUUAAGAGCUAAUCAGUUGUUUUCCAACACUAAAAAGCUCCAAGGCUUCACAUUUACACAAAGGAUGCAAAGGGAACGUGUAUGUGUGAAGUCACCAUCAAAGUCAAGGAAAAGAGACCACACAUGAAAGGGGUAUGCCCUUUUGAUCCAACAGAGAUGAUAAAUGUUGCUUGAUCACUUGACAAACAACAUAGAAAUUAUUUCAAGGGAAGUUCCACGGAAGAUCACACAUCAAUGCAGUUCCACAAUGGAUCAUGACUAGAGACCUUGAUACUAGCAUCGAGGAGUAGCACAAUCCUGUGUGCGCAUUCAUAGGAGGCUCUCAGUUUUGCUGCGGCACCAUAAGUCAUUAACCAUGACACCACUACCGAACUGGCACCAAUAACGAAUCUCACGUAGCAAAAAUAGAUUGUGCUAAGAUAACACAUUGAUAUAGUCUCAUAAUGGAUUAUAACUACUAACACUGAUACCAGCGCGUGCCGAGCAGCACGACCAUGUGUGCGCACACACAGAAGGCCCUCGGUUUCGUCACGGCACCACCAGUUUUAGUCAUAACACCAUUACCAGACAUAACCAAUAAGAAAUCUCGCACAACACAAAUAGACUGGGUAAGGGUGACAAUAUACAAAGAGAUACUCCACCUGUAAGAAUGGUUACAAGUAGAGAGCCAAUAGAUCAUGGCCCGAUGAAAUGAACAAGGCAUGGCCAUAACCUAAACUUGUUGAAAGGAGUAUGAAGGGAGACUGUUAAUUCAGCCCCAAACAUAUUUCUAUGCCCAUCGCAGAGAUUACAAGGUCAAGAAUUAGUAUCCGAUUAGAUACGGGGAAAACAAUCAUAAGAUUAAGUUGGUAUGCCUUCGAUAGAUAUGGGGAAACCAAAGGCAUCAAAUUCAAGAAAAUACUCGGAGAGGUCUUCUCUGGGUUAGGUUGAUAAAACAACAUAGCGAUCUUCAAAAACAGGCAAACUGGAAUGGGGACAUCAGCUUGUGCCAAUCGAACAAGGGCAUGGUCUAGGAGGGAGAUGUAAUUCGAGAUUCUUGUUUUAAGUCCGGGUACAAUUUAUGUCCAACAAGGUAAUUAUCUAGGCAUUUAUUUGUAUGUGUUUGGUCAUGGAGUGAUAACGGAAAAUUCAAAUUUGGGUCGUGGUGUACUAAAUAAGAACAGGGCCUAGUUUUGGGUUUAGGCAAACAAGUCACUAACCUUCUACGGACACAUUAAGCACAAGAGCACACAUAUAGCAUCUAAACAUAAUACCUAAGGAAAGAAGACUAGCUAUUUUAUCGAAGUUCAUAAUUCAACAUUACACUAGAUUAUCUACAAUCACUGGUUUCUAGAAUAAGGAUGAGUGAAGCAUUUUGGAUGUAUAGGUGGCAAACAUGAUGCAACAAUCAGGAUGCAUGCUCGUCCUAUUCGUCCUCACUGAUUUUGCCAACAUACUGUGGCAAUAACGUUCUAUAUCGGUGGUAUACUAACGACUCUCACGGUAUUUUGCUAGUCGUCAGCUACACAUACGUUUUCGAUGUUAGUGUACCUGCAGAAAAAUUCCAUCACAACCCAUUUUCCCAAUGAUGCAAGUCACACAUGACAGUUUAUCACAGUUUAUACUCCAUAUAUUGCUAUAUGGAGGCCAGCUCAUCAUUAAGCGCCGAGCCACGCAUAGGCGCCGUUGCCACACUUUAACCAUAGGGCAACUCAUUAUGGUAACUUACCUUCUUACCUAAGCGUAGGUGCGUCGUUACAAGUACAUUACACUUCUCAGUAUUCCCAUGUCUGUAUACCCAUACACAUCCAUGGGGUACUGAAUUCCCAGAAAAGUAAAUACUCCACAUCGCAGCCUUCAUAUAUACAUAUGUAGAACAUGUAUAUAGUCAAGCGCCACAAUUAAGCACUCCCCUAGACCGACGUAUGUUCGGUCAUGCUCUCACAUCUCACCUUACCUUGAGCGUCGAUCCAUUCAAAACUGAAUGGCCUUAAAAAUAACAAUACACAUGUAUGCAAUACCCCCGGUUGUGGGUUAGUGGUUUUGAACUAAGCCACCUGAUAGUCCUUAACUUAGGGCUUAAUAGAGGAUGUCGCUAGCAUUAUAGUUUUUCAAAACUGUUUUUCAAAGCCAAACAAUAUGUUUAGUUGAAAAUAGGUUUUUCGAAAACCAAAACUUUGUUUUUAAAAUACGUAUGUGAUCGUAUAUACUUAAUCAAGCUCCGAUACCAGCUGUGACGGAACCUCCCAAGUAAUUAGGCCCACCUACAGUUGUCCUUGUCCAACGGACUUCAGACAACCCUGUAGGUGCCCCUGAACUACUUGACAAGUUCGGUAUCAUUCCUUACCUUACCAGGAACGUCUCACCCGUCUUGCAGACAUCACAGAACAUCGGAGAUAAAGAAAUGUGGAAGCAGUUAUAUAAACUUACAUUUAUUUCAAAAGCAAGCUUGAGUUAUUUUAUUACAGACCAGAGCUAAAAGUGAGUGCAGAGUAGUAAUAUUAUACAAACCAUGGGAGGCACAAACUCCUCCCGAUAAGCUAUAAGCAAAAGAACCUAAGUGGAGGACCGAGUCCUCCCGCACUUCAGUCUUGUUUUUCCUCAUUUGGUACCACCUUGGAGCAAAAGCAACAAAAGUUUGUCGCUUCCUCACCUAAAAACAACAAAGGGAUAAACCCUGAGUAUGGAAUUACUCAGCAAGUCUUACCCGACUAAGGAAAAGACUCUCAAGGGUAUGCUGGAUAAAUAGGAAUCAAGGAGAGGCUUUAGCAAGAAUCAACUUAGAUACUUUUGCAGAAAUAACUUACUAAAGUGAGUCCUUACUUUCAAUAUUUUAACGCCAGAUUGAAUAUUAAUAGGCACUGUUUGCAUCUAGUCUAAUUUCAUCAUCUCAUCAAUACAACAUCCUUUUUAUUCAUAAUGUUCACAUCCUGACUUAGGUUGCAGGGAAGUGACCAAGUCUUCGUAACCGCGAAGGUACGGCGAUCCGAAUCGAUUAUACUCAGCUGAGGAUCUCCAAUCACACGACAUAUGUAGCACUUAACCCUUGCAUAUGUCAACCCGCCACCGGGGUUCUUAAGACCAGAUCAGGUUCACGCAAACCGAGAGCACAGAUACACCACCGUCCAGCCUCUUGCCACGGAGGGUACACGCUACUCUCGCCACCGCUCCACGCCCAUUUCGUGUUAUCUUAUUCUGGCCUUAGUCUGCCCGAGGCAAGGCUUACCCAUGACGAGGCAUGUGACCAGUUAAAGGGUCCUCGGUCAGCACGCCUACAUACGCAUUAAUCCUUAACCAACCUGGGUAGAACAUCACCUGUUCCUAACCCAAGUCUCAAGUUAAGUAUUUCCAUCCUUAGGAUUGUGUCUGUUCCUUAGGAUGAAAGAGCAUCAUAGGGAACUUUGCAGUAAGAUCCCACUAUUGCUCCACAUGAAAAUAUUUUUGCAGGUAGAAGCCAUCCUCUCCCGGGUUAGACUGAGGACAACCUCUAUCCACAAGAUCUAAGCAAGGCUAAGCAUUUUUGUAAAUCAUAAUUUUGAUACUUCACAGAAGUAUCUAUAAAGGUAUGGAUAUCAAGGAAAGCAAUGCAUCAAAGGGUUUCAAGUAACUCCUAUGAACCUAAUGCACAUUUCACUAGACUUAAGUGUGCGAAAAGUAUUUAAAACACAAGGAAAGGG